UACGGGGGGGGCAAGCGUUGUUCGGAAUUACUGGGCGUAAAGGGCUCGUAGGCGGCCAACUAAGUCAGACGUGAAAUCCCUCGGCUUAACCGGGGAACUGCGUCUGAUACUGGAUGGCUUGAGUUUGGGAGAGGGAUGCGGAAUUCCCAGUGUAGAGGUGAAAUUCGUAGAUAUUGGGAAGAACACCGGUGGCGAAGGCGGCGCUCUGGACCGAGACUGACGCUGAGGCGCGAAAGCUGGGGGAGCAAACGGG
rnacentral:rRNA from 1 species